GCUGGGUUCAGAACGUCGUGAGACAGUUCGGUCCCUAUCCGUCGCAGGCGUAGGAAAUUUGAGAAGACCUGUCCUUAGUACGAGAGGACCGGGAUGGACGUACCUCUGGUGUACCAGUUGUUCUGCCAAGGGCAUGGCUGGGUAGCUAUGUACGGAAUGGAUAAGCGCUGAAAGCAUCUAAGCGCGAAGCCAACUUCAAGAUAAGAUUUCCCACCGCAAGGGUAAGACCCCAGAAAGACUAUCUGGUUG
rnacentral:rRNA from 1 species